rnacentral:lncRNA from 1 species
AGCUGGGCGCCCAAAAGUUGGACCCCAAUCAGCAGCGAGUGGGCAGCGGGGGCCUGGCUCGCCCGCGCCCGCGCCCCGGAGCUCUCCGGCUGGCUCUCUGCUCCCCGAAGCUGGGGAGCCGGGGGCGCUCUCCCGGGCCGCAAGCAGGCACGGAAUUUGACGCCCGAGAGGCAGAUGGUCCUGGCUAGGACUCCUGAUUCUUCUCAGAUGGAAACAGUUUCUCCCGGUGAACCUGCCGGAAUUCUCAGUGGACUCGAUCUUCAGCUUUGUCCACUGGCGCAUUUCACCAAGGCCGCAUUUACCGCUUUGAGGCAAAUUUGAGCUUCAAAUGGAGCGGGACUCCUGGUUGCAGAACGAGGGUGUGGGAAUGCGCAUCUGCAAGACCAGAGGAUGCAGAGCUUGCAGGAAGGAGGAAACUCACUAGGUUCAGGUUCAUGAAAUUUUCAGGAAUUAAAGUUAGUCCUGAGGAAAGUUCAUGAA